GCCGGUGUAGCUCAACUGGUAGAGCAGCUGAAUCGUAAUCAGCAGGUUGCGGGUUCAAGUCCUGUCACCGGCUCCA
rnacentral:tRNA from 1 species